GUGAACGCUGGCGGUAGGCCUAACACAUGCCAGUCGAACGGCAGCACCGUAAGAGCUUGCUCUUACGGGUGGCGAGUGGCGGACGGGUGAGGAAUACAUCGGAAUCUACUUUUUCGUGGGGGAUAACGUAGGGAAACUUACGCUAAUACCGCAUACGACCUACGGGUGAAAGCAGGGGAUCUUCGGACCUUGCGCGAUUGAAUGAGCCGAUGUCGGAUUAGCUAGUUGGCGGGGUAAAGGCCCACCAAGGCGACGAUCCGUAGCUGGUCUGAGAGGAUGAUCAGCCACACUGGAACUGAGACACGGUCCAGACUCCUACGGGAGGCAGCAGUGGGGAAUAUUGGACAAUGGGCGCAAGCCUGAUCCAGCCACACCGCGUGGGUGAAGAAGGCCUUCGGGUUGUAAAGCCCUUUUGUUGGGAAAGAAAAGCAGCAGGUUAAUACCCCGCUGUUCUGACGGUACCCAAAGAAUAAGCACCGGCUAACUUCGUG
rnacentral:rRNA from 1 species